rnacentral:rRNA from 1 species
UACGGGGGGGGCAAGCGUUGUUCGGAAUUACUGGGCGUAAAGGGUGCGUAGGCGGCUCUCUAAGUCGGAUGUGAAAACUCUGGGCUCAACCCAGAGCCUGCAUCCGAAACUGGAGGGCUAGGGUUUUGGAGGGGAAAGCGGAAUUCCAGGUGUAGCGGUGAAAUGCGUAGAUAUCUGGAGGAACACCGGUGGCGAAGGCGGCUUUCUGGACAAAUACCGACGCUGAGGCACGAAAGCUAGGGGAGCAAACGGG